AUCUUUCUAGUAUUAAUAAGUACAAAUGACUUCCAAUUAUUUAGUCUUGGUUAAACUCCAAGGAAAGAUA
rnacentral:tRNA from 1 species